GCUUCAAAAAUUCUAGCCCCUAGAACUCGACUAGCCCUGUACCGGUCAGAUUUCUCCAAGAACCUGACUCGACCCUCUCAGAACCUCCUCUAAACUUUUGAUUUUUCUUCUUUAGGACUCUCACAACCCUUGUUUGGACCAGAUAAGGCUUUGUCUUAAAUCCCAAAGUCAUGUCCUAAAACUAAGAUGGGUUGUAAGAAAGAAGGGAGAGCAAUGGAGAGAAAUUAGAAAGUCGAUCUGAAUGCCUUGAACACCCAGCACCCAGGACUUCUGAUAGCC
rnacentral:lncRNA from 1 species